rnacentral:ncRNA from 1 species
AAGGCCUGAUGUGUGUGAGAUUACCCGCUGAAUUUAAGCAUAUAAGUAAGCGGAGGAAAAGAAACUAACUAGGAUUCCCUUAGUAAUGGCGAAUGAACAGGGAUCAGCUCAGUGCCAAAUCGGAAUCACUUGUGGUUCUGAAAUGUGGCUUGAAGGCAGUACCAGUGGCAUCGCGGACGAAAGUCUCUUGGAAAAGAGCGUCAUAGAGGGUGAGAAUCCCGUGAGUCGUUCGCCGUUUGUCACGUACGGUCUGCGUUCUAACGAGUCGCGUUCCUUGGGAUUGGAGCGUAAACGGGUGGUAAAUUUCAUCCAAAGCAAAAUAUAUACUCGAGACCGAUAGCACAAAAGUACCGUGAGGGAAAGGUGAAAAGAACUUUGAGAAGAGGGUUAAAUAGUGCCUGAAAUCGUUGAGAAGGAAGCGGAUGCCGCCGUUGCAUAUGCUGAUUGUAGGAUUGCUGCUCGCUCCUGUCUUCUGCUACUCAUUCACAGACCUGGUCGUGUUGAGCAGUUGUUUGGCAGAUGUUAGUGGUGUUUCCUACUCUCAGUCGUCAGCAUCACUGGCUGAGUGGAAAUAAUCCUUGGAUGCUAAUUGGUUCGCUAUCUGUGAAUUGGUUGCUUCCUUGCGAUACUCACUACUCGGUCAGUGAGGAAGUGCGUUG